AUGUGUUGGUAUGAAAGCUGUCUGGAGAAUAAAUGCAGAGAAAUCUUCAGUAGGAAGAAGCCUGAGAUGCCCUUUUCAUCAUGAUCGUGUAAGCUGUGUCUGAUUAUUCCUUGUGCCUCCGUACCAGUCCAGUGAGGGAAAAUAGUUAUCUAUGUUGGAGCCACACGGGCUCUAACAUAAUGGUGUUGGCAACGUUAGGCACCACUGAACCCCAAGAUUAAAGACAACGUGGUGCCGACUACUGAACCUCCAAGACGAAAGGCAACGUGGUACUGACCGCCUAAAUCCGUGAGAAGCCAGAGAAAGAGACAGGAUGAGAGAGACCGUGAAUGGCGAUCACUAAAUCCCUGAAGGAGACCAGACAAAGGAUGGAGGAGAAGGUGAGGCUGAUCCACGCACCCCAAAAAGAUGAAAAUCAAGUCAUAUGGCUUCCAGAACUGCUGAUUCGGUGCAUUCAGCAGAAGGACAAUGAACUUGAGGACAGCUGAGCUGACAACCGCCCAGCAGAAGAAACAGAAUGAGAAGAGAUCCAGAAGGACUGAUAACCCAGCCCACAGAGAGGAGUAUGAUCUGGACCUACAGCUGCCAACUCACAUCGCUGCAGGGAGACUAUGAACAAAGAGAUCCUGAGAUCAGCAGUCAACGACGGGUUUGAAACUUCUUUUCCCCAAAUGCUUAAGAUAGGGGCUCGCAUAUAUGAAUGCCUGUUCCAAAGAUGGGAAAAUUUGGGUAAAUGAAGAGGACUUUGCCCAAGCCAGACAUGAUACAUCUGUCCUGUUGCAGAAGCACAGGAGGUACUAAAAUUAAUAAAAGAGAGUGGAUUUUAGGCCCAUAUUUCUAUAUGGUGGCUGCCAGGUGCUGAAGAGGCCCACCUGAGGAGGUCACGUAUCUCUGCAGACAAGCUGUCUCUGCCUAACAAAAGUCAGGAUGUUUGCUGCUCCCUUCCUUGUAAUUUGGAGGAUAUCUUAUAGAGAUGCUAAUUCAAACCUAUGUGACAGCUAGCAUACUCAGCAGACAGGUAGAUGCUGAUGUGACAAAAGGCCAUUCACCUGGUUACCUAGGUGACAGAAUGCUGGUUUAUUUUCCCAUGCAAUUUAUGUGUUGGUAUAAAAGCUGUCUGGAGAAUAAAUGCAGAGAGAUCUUCAGUAGGAAGAAGCCUGAGAUGCCCUUUUCAUUAUGAUCAUAUAAGCUGUGUCUGAUUAUUCCUUGUGCCUCCGUACCAGUCCAGUUAGGGCAAAUAGUUAUCUAUGUUGGAGCCACACAGUCUCUAACACCACUGGUGCUGUGGAAUAUUACUUUAUAUAAAAUAUCUCAUUAUAUAAAAAUAAAGAUGUGUUCCAUUUGUUUAUGUUGCAUUUAUUUAAUGAUGUAAAGAUGUCUUGCUUUGCCUGACUAAGGUGUCUGAUUGGUCUAAUAAAGAACUGCACAGCCAAUAGUUAGGCAUCAGAAAGAUAGGAUGGCUGGUGGGCAGAUAAAAUAAGUAGGAGGGGAAUCUAGGCUCAAGAAAAAAAGGAAAAGAAUAAGUUAGAGAGCAAGGGAGAUGCCUGGCAAUUGCCAUACAGACUGACAUAAAGUAGGACAUACAGAAUAAAAGUAAAAGAUUCCCAAGGCAAAAUGUAGAUGAAGAGACAUAGGUUAAAUAAAAAUUA